CUGUCUCCUUGCAGGUCUCAAUGGUGAAAUGGUCGCUGUAGGAAUCCCAAGUACUUGCCCCACCAGAGGCUCCCAAACUUUGGAGAAGAGAAAAGAAAACUGAUGAUUCUUACCCCUUCUCAACAAAUUAUAUGUGAUCGAGUUUGAGUUUCUGCAGCAGAAAGCCUGUUAGGGUCCCCGCACCCACGACAAAGCACAGACAUCCAUGCAGCCAAGGUUCACUACAUACAAGAUUCUACCUCCUUCAGUGAAGUAUCUAUAAGCAGCUAAAAACAGAUUUCUUUCCCGUCAUCAAUUUCCUAGGAGACAACUCCGAAAAAAUUUCCUCAGGGUUCCUUACAGUAACUGAGAGGGCUGCUGUGAUGAUAAAGGGAUAACGUAUACAGAGUGCUGGCACAGGAUCUGGCACACGAUGCUCAGGGUAAGACUCCAUUCCUCUGAUACCUGGACCCAAACUGGACACAAGAAAACUCAUCACCACCACCACCACCUUCAUCAUCACCAUCAUCAUCAUCAUCAUCAUCUUCUUCAUCUUCAUCACUACUGUCGCCAGAAAGUGCGAGGAAGAGGAAGGAGAAAGGAUUGUCGUACAUACUACCACAACAAAAGCAAAAAAGGUCAUCAGGGAACAAAGGAAAAACAAGAGGUGGAAAAGCUUUUGUAACUGCUGUCUCUUUUUAAUUAAAUGUUAUGCUAAAAGUUCUAA